UACAGAGGGUGCAAGCGUUAAUCGGAUUUACUGGGCGUAAAGGGCGCGUAGGUGGUUAUUUAAGUGAGAUGUGAAAGCCCCGGGCUUAACCUGGGAACUGCAUCUUAUACUGGGUAACUGGAGUGCAAUAGAGGGUAGUGGAAUUUCCGGUGUAGCGGUGAAAUGCGUAGAUAUCGGAAGGAACACCAGUGGCGAAGGCGGCUACCUGGAUUGACACUGACACUGAGGCGCGAAAGCUAGGGGAGCAAACAGG
rnacentral:rRNA from 1 species